CCUACUUGUUGCGAGCCAUACGGCGGCGGCAGCGUCCCGGAGCUGUCAAAUAUUGCGCACAGGCUUCAGUGUUGAGUCCGUGAAGUAACCAGACUAAUCCAGCAAGACAGACAACUCGGAAGAUUAACCUUUUUUUAAUUUAAUUUUAUUUUUUUAGCCUCGCAAAACAAGUUGUUGUUGUCCGCGCACCCGGAAGCCUGCUUUUAAAAUCAUGAUCAUUUCUGUCACAUGGUUUUGGAGAAUUCAAUAACAACAAAAAAUGGCGACAAUCACGUUGCUCGGUGUGGUCUUGCUGCGUCAUUAAAAAUAUUCAUGUAAACACGGGGGAUUAAACGGGGCAAUCGCAGCCCGCCCCUGUUUUAGUUGCUGCACAUGUUGCCGUCCACGUCCUCCGUGGACAGCUUUUGGCCAGUGCGCCCUAAUGGAGUUGUUUACAUGAAGCGCGGAGGGGCGGACUCGGCCUGGCGAGGGAGGAGGAGCCGCUACGUCGGCCAAAGCGACGCGACCGGACUGCUCGAGAGGCUUCUCCCGCCGAGGAGGGUGAGGAGGAGGGGAGGAGGGGAAGAGGGGAGGAAGGGGAGGAGAGAGCAGGGGGAGGAGCCGGCGACCAGAAUCAUAACAAGUCUGACAUCACUCGGCCUUGUGGUUUGUAUGAAUAAUAUACUGUCUCGUCCAAAAGCAGCAAAGAGGUGAGGGAGGGAAAAGAAAGAAAUGAAGUCUUUGUACCCGUUAUUGUUUUAUGAGAUGAAACAUUUGCCAGGAUUCUGUGCAGCAGCAAACUGGAGACUUAAAAAAAAAAGGAAAAAAAAGCUCAACUCCAAGCUGAGAGACAUCACAGAUCCACAUCUAUUAGGUCACUGGGUUCGUGUUGCAUGUGCUGCCUUGUGCAUUAACUGGAUUUUCUUUAGACACUGUUAAAGCGCCAAUGAAAAAUGUUUUUUGAAAAGUGAUGUCAGUGGAUUUCCAUGUGUUUGUCACUGUUACAUGCAACUCCUACCCAAAACCACUAUUUUUUUAACACAUAAUGUGCAACUGUGUCUGUGUUAUGAAGGACAGAAUCAAUAUUUGUAACAGUUUGUCUGUGCAAAUAGCAAAACCUGUCAUACCUCCUACCAGAAUAAUGAUUCUUUGACUGUAAAUGUUGAGGGAUUUAACUGACUGCAGCCUCUCACAUAACAGAGCCUUUCUUUUAGCAGACUGCAUGUUUAGUUCUGCACUAACCAACUAUGAAUGGGCCUUUUUUUAAUCUCGGACUUUGAAACUUUAUUUACGAGGGAAUCAUUUUUGACGAAAAUGUUUUGUUUUGUUUUUUUUUUAAAUGUAAAUCCCAUCUUUAGAAGGUCAUUGGUGGAAUGGAUACUUCAAUAACUGAUGUAUUGUUAAAUUGCAUGCCUAUAGCAGUCUGCAAAAUGAAUCUGUUAUAGUUGUAGCUUCUGUGUGGUACAAUAUAUGAGAAGCUGGAGAUAUUACAUGAGAUACCACCAGAGGAGCUGCAGGAAUGCGAAAGGAAAACGUUAUCGUACAGCACGGAUAUUAUGGGUGGAUGACAAAUGGAGUGAAGCCACGGACUGCUAGAUUUGACAGGCUGCCCUGGU